GAUGAACGCUAGCGGCAGGCUUAAUACAUGCAAGUCGCGGGGCAGCAUGGUGUGUAGCAAUACACACUGAUGGCGACCGGCAAACGGGUGCGGAACACGUACGCAACUUACCCUUAAGUGGGGGAUAGCCCGGGGAAACCCGGAUUAAUACCUCGUAACACUGUGAAGUGGCAUCACUUUAUAGUUAUAGCUCCGGUGCUUAAGGAUGGGCGUGCGUCCCAUUAGGUAGUUGGUUGAGGUAACGGCUCACCAAGUCUGCGAUGGGUAACUGGUGUGAGAGCACGACCAGUCACACGGGCACUGAGACACGGGCCCGACUCCUACGGGAGGCAGCAGUAAGGAAUAUUGGUCAAUGGACGCAAGUCUGAACCAGCCAUGCCGCGUGGAGGAUGAAGGCCCUCUGGGUUGUAAACUUCUUUUACGGGGGACGAAACCCCGGAUUUUUAUCCGGCCUGACGGUACCCCAGGAAUAAGCACCGGCUAACUCCGUGCCAGCAGCCGCCGUAACAC
rnacentral:rRNA from 1 species